ACUUACCUAAUCAAUUUGAUGAACUAAAUUUUAAUUAGGUCAUUAGGUAAUUCAAGUUAGCCCAUGUCAUUAAGAUUAAUCAGUGUGAUUGAUCUAGGUGCCAACUCAAUCAGCAUGACCUAACCCUUCAGUCACUUGGUGAAGUCAGUGGGAAGAUUAUGAUCUAUUGAUUGAUCUUUUCUUCUCUUCUCUCUUCUCUAAAUCUAUUAAAUUCUCUAAAUUAU
rnacentral:lncRNA from 1 species